rnacentral:rRNA from 1 species
UACGUAGGGUGCUAGCGUUGCUCGGAAUCAUUGGGCGUAAAGCGCUCGUAGGCGGAUUGUUAAGUCAGGGGUGAAAUCCUGGAGCUCAACUCCAGAACUGCCUUUGAUACUGGCGAUCUUGAGUCCGGGAGAGGUGAGUGGAACUGCGAGUGUAGAGGUGAAAUUCGUAGAUAUUCACAAGAACACCAGUGGCGAAGGCGGCUCACUGGCCCGGUACUGACGCUGAGGUGCGAAAGCGUGGGGAGCAAACAGG